rnacentral:rRNA from 1 species
GAUGAAUGCUGGCGGCGUGCUUAACACAUGCAAGUCGAGCGAGAGAGUUUCUUCGGAAACAAUCUAGCGGCGGACGGGUGAGUAACACGUGGGCAACCUGCCUUGUAGUGGGGGAUAGCCCUCCGAAAGGAGGAUUAAUACCGCAUAUUGUCACAUUGAGGCAUCUCAAAGUGAUGAAAGGAGUAAUCCGCUACAAGAUGGGCCCGCGGCGCAUUAGCUAGUUGGUGAGGUAACGGCUCACCAAGGCGACGAUGCGUAGCCGACCUGAGAGGGUGACCGGCCCCAUUGGGACUGAGACACGGCCCAGACUCCCACGGGAGGCAGCAGUGGGGAAUAUUGCACGAUGGGAGAAACCCUGAUGCAGCAACGCCGCGUGAGUGAUGAAGGUCUUCGGAUUGUAAAGCUCUGUCUUCAGGGACGAUAAUGACGGUACCUGAGGAGGAAGCCACGGCUAACUACGUGCCAGCCGCCGCCGUAA